AGCAGCCGCGGUAAUUCCAGCUCCAAUAGCGUAUAUUAAAGUUGUUGCAGUUAAAAAGCUCGUAGUUGAAUUUCGGGAUCAAUCUAUUGGUCGUGCAAUAGUACGUACUGAUUUUAUUGAUUCCUACCUUCUGAUGAACUAUGAUGUCAUUAAUUUGGUGUCAUAGGGAAUCAGGACUGUUACUUUGAAAAAAUUAGAGUGUUUAAAGCAGGCUCACGCUUGAAUACAUUAGCAUGGAAUAACGAAAUAGGACGUUUGAUUCUAUUUUGUUGGUUUCUAGGAUCGACGUAAUGAUUAAUAGGGAUAGUUGGGGGCAUUAGUAUUCAAUUGUCAGAGGUGAAAUUCUUGGAUUUAUUGAAGACUAACUACUGCGAAAGCAUUUGCCAAGGAUGUUUUCAUUAAUCAAGAACGAAAGUUAGGGGAUCGAAGACGAUCAGAUACCGUCGUAGUCUUAACCAUAAACUAUGCCGACUAGGGACCGGAUGAUGUUAAUUUUUUAAUGACUCAUUCGGCGCCUUAA
rnacentral:sRNA from 1 species